CCCUAUCUUAUUCAGUCUGGGUCCUUGGGAUGGGCAGACACCCACAGGCCUUAAUAACCAUGAGGUGAUAAUUGUGCUGGAAUUGUGAAUGAAUAAAGGAUGCAGCAGGAGCAAGGCUGUUAAUCUGGAAAUCAUUCAUCAGUGAGAAGGGCCGGAAUAGCUGCUGAUGCCUUCAACACUGCAGUCUGAUGACACGCUGUAUGGGAAAAUUCCUGAUACCAACAAGGCCCUAUCAAGUCCGCAGGACACAGAAGUCCUGCAGGGCUGUCAAGCAACUUGGGGGAAUCACAGAGCUGAGAAUCGGGCUUCAGGAAUG